CUUUUCUCUCUCUUCAAAUAUAUAUAUCAGCCACUCUCGCUCCCUUCUCUCACCAACACCAAUCUUUGUUAGAACCUUAAAACUCUCGCAUAUGCUGUCUCGUGAAUCUCACAGUCAUGGGAAAAAACCUCGCCGCCGAGAAAUGAAUUUCCCAAAUUCGAAACCAUAAUGGAUCUGGAGAAAGCAGGUACGAUGUGUUUCAUCUCAAGCAGAUAUGUCGAUCCUUGUUAGAUGUUCGUCCUUAAAAGGAUACUCAAAAAGGCUUGCUGAGGUUUUCUCAAAGGAUGUCAUAUCUUUCUUGGCUAGCUGUCAAAACUUGGUUCCACGACCGUGGGUCAUUGAUGACUUGGACAACUUCCAAGCCAAAUGGAUCAAGAAGCCUUGGAAGAAGGCAGUGAUUUUUGUUGAUAAUUCUGGUGCCGACAUAAUUUUGGGUAUUUUGUCGUUUGCAAGAGAGUUGCUCCUUCGUGGAACUCAGGUAUGUACUUUUGACAAUGACCGAGUCUUUCUCUUUUUAUUUCACCUUGAAGGUGCUUCUAGCUGCUAACGAGCUGCCAGCGAGCUGCCAGCUAUCAACGAUGUAACAUAUACAAAGCUUACUGAUAUCGUGUCUCAGGGUUGUGGAAUCGAGACAAACCUUUAUGCUCAGUUUCAAGUGUGAUUCUCUCAAUAUUGGAAUGGAUAUGAAGUCUAUGUUGAUCAUGUUGCCACGUAUUUGGUAAGUGGAGGGGAGGGUUGCUGGUGUUGAUUUGGGAUCUAGAAAGUUUCAAUUAGAUUUUGAUGAGGAGGCUGAUAUUAUUGAAGUUUUGAAGAUAGAACCAUUAUAUUUCGACUCUUGGAUGGUUUCUUUGGUUCGGUGGACACCAGUGGUAGAUUCAGCUUAUUCGUUGUCUCUUGAGUUUUGGAUCUGUGUUACUGAUGUUCCUAUUCAGUUCUGGGCAGAUCCUACUUUUAGAGAUAUUGGAUCUGAUUUCGGUACCGUCUAAGAUGUGGAUAUAGAUAGAGGGUGUGUGCAGGUCACUAUUGAUGGUCUAAAGCCUCUAUGUUUUGAAACAAAUU